AUUUUGCACAAUGGGGGAAACCCUGAUGCAGCGACGCCGCGUGAGCGAAGAAGGCCUUCGGGUCGUAAAGCUCUGUCCUAAGCGAAGAAAAAGACGGUACCAUAGGAGGAAGCCUCGGCUAACUACGUGCCAGCGGCCGCGGUAAUACGUAGGGGGCGAGCGUGAUCCGGAAUUAUUGGGCGUAAAGGGUGCGUAGGCGGCCAUUUAAGUCAGAUGUGAAAGACUACGGCUUAACCGUAGUUAGCAUUUGAAACUAGAAGGCUUGAGUGCAGUAGAGGAGAGUGGAAUUCCUAGUGUAGCGGUGAAAUGCGUAGAUAUUAGGAGGAACACCAGUGGCGAAGGCGACUCUCUGGACUGCAACUGACGCUGAGGCACGAAAGCGUGGGUAGCGAACAGG
rnacentral:rRNA from 1 species